GACGCAGACAGACACGUCCUUGAUGUAAGCGAAAGCCAGUUGUUCUGCCACUUUGAACAACUUUGCAAUGAAAGGGCAGCGGGAGCUGAGUUGUUAUUUUCUUGCACCAAUGAGUGAUUUGGUCAUGGACUGAUAAGAUCUUUGGGACACUGCGAUGGCUGGGUUGAGAAGACUGGAGAAACGAAGAGCUGAGCCGUUUCUUCCACACAACAUUGUGUUGUUCAAACUGAACAUUACUCCAUGCACACUGGAAGCCUGCAUGGAGAUGGUGGGGCUCUAAUGCUUACUUUCAGACAGCCUUUCUCUGUGAGUGAAAACCCAUGACGCAGUCUGAGUGCAGGUUCAUCAAGGAAAAAGUUCAUGACCAUUUCAGAUCUUCCAACGCAUGGUAUAUUUCUAGCAGCCCGAGCUUCAUCUCCAAGGAAAACCAGGUCAUUUGCAACUAAAUAGACUCUGAAAACAGAUGUAAUGUGAAGCCGCUCCUGAUGACACACUGCCUGUCAUGACCUCAUAUUUUACUGACCACCUGCUUUGUCCAGAUCAACAGUCAAAUGGUGAUGUUUGUGAUUAUUUCUGCCCUGUUCCACCUGGUAAUGGGGAAGAGGAAGUCGGGAAUGAUGGCCUCGCUCCUCGUUCAUUCAUCUAGUGCACCUUCCUCAGUUAGCUGUGAGCCAGCUCUGGGUCAAGGAAGUGCCCUGAAAUCCAGUCUGUCCACCCAACAAGAAUGUAAAAAACAAGGAAAGGCCUCUGUCUAGGAGUGUGUCUGUAACCUUGCUUUGACUCGCUCUGACAAUCUCUCUGGAUUCUCAGGACAAUCUCAGAACUCUGGAUUUACCCAAGUCGUAUGAUCACCAAAUCUAAAUGUAUUUAAUAAAACAUACAGUAAACACAGUAAUAAUGUGAAAUUGUAACUAUUUUCUGUUUUAAUAUAUUUUCAAAUGUAAUUUAUUCCUGUGAUGGAAAAGCAGAAAUUUCAGGAUACUAUGAUCAACAGAAUGUUCAGUACAGUAUUUAUUUGAAAUAUAUAUAUUUUUUUACAUUAUACAAUUUUGACAUUAUUUAUAUUAUACAUUUCUUUAGCCUCACU